ensembl:rRNA 5S_rRNA 5S ribosomal RNA
GUCUAUGGCUACACUACCCUGAACGUACUCAAUCUUGUCUGAUCUUGAAAGCUAAGCAGGGUCAGGUCUGGUUAGUACUUGGAUGGGAGAAAUUAUCUCAGUUCAAACAUCACAAAAAAUCUGAAAGCAAGCUACC